rnacentral:rRNA from 1 species
ACUUUAAUUGAAGAGUUUGAUCAUGGCUCAGAUUGAACGCUGGCGGCAGGCCUAACACAUGCAAGUCGAGCGGUAACAGAAAAGAAGCUUGCUUCUUU